UUAUUAUUAUGAGAUUAUGUGAUCAAAACACAUCUACUGGCAAUUUUUUGUAAUCUAAGGCGAGUUGUUUCAGUGAGAAUAAGAAUGUAAAGACCUGUGGGUUUGACACAAUCUAACUACAAAGACUCACGAUUUUAAAAAAUUCUAACUUUUAAUUAAAUUGUAAGUUAAGAAAAGCAGCCAAAGAGUCAUUAUUUCUCUUACAAUCAAAAUUUUCAAACACAAAUGAAUGUCCUAGUGUCCAUUUAACCUGCUGCUCUUUUCAAUAAUUUAAAACAAAUAAAAUAAGUAAAUAAAGCAUCAAAAAAACACAACUUUCUGGAGGUUCUGACGAUGUAUGAAACUGUAUCGCACUGUUAAGCUAAUCAUUUUCAUUAUUACAAACCACACUGUGUUUGUUAGUGCAUUCUUCUGCGUUUAUACAAAACCAUUUGUUAAGUUUUUGCAUCAAAUGAGCUCCCUAGACUUGCAUUUUAUUUAUUUUUUUAUUAUUGCAUCAAGUCCUGCUACUCCAUGUGUAUCUUUAAGAGAUGGAGUUAAACCCCUAGACUAAAGCACAAUGACGUUCGCCUGCUGACCCCAAACUGCCCUUUGUUUAUUGGCAUAAACAAGCGGAGUUCUGUCCAAUGACGGCAGCAGACCCCGCCCCAAAACCUUCUGAUUUCCUUCGACAAUGUCUGUUGAACUGCAGACUCCGUAAUAGUAAUAUUAUUCUUUCAGGAAAACACAAAGUAUGAGAUAACUUUGUGACACAAGUCUGCUUCUGGCUUUAUCUAGGCUGUUGUGAGGUGACUUGUAAGUGUACAGUAAUUGGUAACAAGUGUGUGUGUGUGUGCGUGUGUGUGUGUGUGUGUGUGUGUCUGUCUAUGAUGUGCUCAUUAUCAAUAGUACUGAUUAUCGGCUGAAAUCUGCAGUAAAUCAUGUGGUUUACUUUGUAUUCUGGCACAAGGCGAAUACUCGUCUACUUCCACCACUGAACACUCGGACCAUUAUUCAAUCAAAAAAAA